UGUGUUGCUUUUGCUCGCGCCGUUGAGCUCGAGCAGCAGCUCGCCCUUUGCCGUCCUCCGGAUUCUAUUAACAUUAUCCCCUACCUCCUGCAGCUUGCCAUCCUGGCGCCUGGUGACCAUACGGAGGAUGUCGCUAUAGCUAAGCUCGCCCUGGGGUUGGAUGAUUAUUGCGUCUGGCCUUGGUUCACGCUCACGGGGCUCCCUUUUUUUUCUUACCCUAGGGCCCACCUGCUGCCACUUGAGCUGUUUCUUAGCGGCUGGGGUGGCACCAUGGUCCACUGUACCCGAGGGGGUUAGUUCAUCCUGGGACUGCUCCGGCGGUUUGAGCUGGGUCGACGCUUGUUGGGGUUAGGGGUUCAGCCUGCCUACUCAGGUCAUAGAAUGCCGACGCCGUCAGCCCACAGUCUAAUGUACGUAAGGGGGUUCCAGUGGGUCGUACGUAACACCUUACUGGUCUCGGUGUUACGGGCGGUAUAGUACCUACCAAGGCGCCUAUGGCGCCGAUGGGUCCACUCUUGUGUACCCGAUGGCCUUAGAAAGCGCCGAUGUGCAGUGUGAGCCUCUACAAUAUCCCCAUCAGUUCCACUUUGCCACAUCCUAUAGACCCGCGGUGGGGGGGCCGAAAAGUCGUGGUAUACUUCUAGGAUGUAUGAUGCAGCGCCAUCUGCCGGUGCUCGUCUUCCUCUACGUGCUACGUAGCAGCGCCCUCUGACGGUGGGACACGCCUGCGAUGAGUAGGCUAUCGCCUUCUUGUAGCCCUAGUCAGCAGCUGUUGCUCUGAUCAGGAAAAUAGACAUACGGAAAAACGUGGAGCUCAUCCUAAAGAAGCUGAGGCAACUGGUGCAUUAUGUCGGGCCUUAGAACGGCCAACCUACGCAUGCUCGUGCGGUGCAGGCAACUCCGUUGUCUGGCAUGGUAACUCCGUCGCCAUCCAUCUUGAGCCGGUGAGAGGAGGAGAGAAACUCACCCCGGGAGCUUCGUGUGUGUUGUGAGUGAGUUGGAGUUUGAGUGACAAACCCCAAAUUGGUUUAGCCAUGGCAGAUUGCUUUAAAAUCCUGAUUGUCGACCUUCUUGGGUUUGGACACGGUCUGCUCGGGCCAGGAGUCCAGAGUUAAGCUCAGUAAGCAUCGCGCCCAUAGGCCAGUCACUUCACUCAAUGGCUGCUACCGCCGACGCGGGAGAAAAGAAGAACAGAACCGCCAGCCUGGAUCGGAGGCGGGCACAACGAGGAGGGGCUCGACCUGCCCUGGUAGCCAGAACGGUACCUCGUCAGCCCAGGUCCUAUUCCACCCUCGGCGGCUCCGCAGACACACGGAGCGCGGCGCAAACACAGGAGCAACGGAGGCGCGCGACCGACCCGGGUUUUUUCACCACUGUUUUUUCCGUUCCAAAGGUGACAGUAUUUAAACGAAACGAGGGGGAACGUUGUGAGUUGCUGCGGACACCGCAACUCUACAGUUAUACCUGUUGCGUGACCUUCCAUCGAUGGCCACAAUUAUUAGUUAUUGAUCUGAGUUAUGAAGUCUAGUGUAAGUUAGGCUAGGGCAAAGCGGGAGCGCAAUAAAAGCUCUCGCUCUUGGUGAAUUAGUACCGCUUUGCCACCGUAGGUUAGCUAGAGUAAGAGAUUUGAAUUGUGAAGAAAAUAUAGUUGUUUGCCAACCUUGAAUUAGA